CUGGAACUUGAUUUAUUGCAAAUAGCAAACGAAAGAUUUAAUGCUCCACCACCAAAUUAAGAGGAAAAGAAUUUGUUAAUAUAGAACUCAGAAAUUUUCCAACAAAAGAUGAGAUAGCAUCAGCCAUGAGUCAUAAUUCUCCAGCUUUAUAACCCGAUUGUUGUAAUUGCUUGAUUACAUAGAACUCUUUCUCCUAUAUCACCACCCAGUAAAGGAACAUGAUAUCCAAAUUCAGCAAGGCAUGACAUCCAUUCCCGCUCCACCGAUUUGGACAAAGGGCCUCCUCAUGCAGGAGAAACACUCUCUUAUCCAGUAUAACAAUAUCGUCUCACAAUCGAACCUCCGACAAAACCUCUGCAUCUUUACAUUAGACAACCAAUACAACCUUGGAAGUAUUUGUGAAAGCACACCCAGCCAAUCCUUCUACCUUAUAUCUAAGGUAUCUUGAAAAUGUUCUUCAGUUUGACCACCAGCUUCCACUCCUCCAUAGACAGAUCAUCCCGAUAAUUAGUCUUCAGAACAUCAAUUGAUCUCCUUGUAACGUGGCUGAUAAGUAAAUCAUUAAUCUCAAAAUGUCUGCCAAACAUUUUUUGCUGCUCCUCAGGGUUGGAGCCAACAAUCUUAAUGGCAACCUUCUGGCCCUUCUUGGCACAAUCAACAGGCUUAUGGUUGUUCUCAAUGGAAGCAAUCCGACCAAUGUCAAUAAAAUCUCUCUCAGGAAUACAAAUUGGAGUCCCAACCUUAGCUAUGCCAUCGGCAACAUCAACUCCCAAGACAAUUGGAUCUUUCUUGUUGAAAAUGCAAUUUGGUAAAAUCUGAAGAAUGCAUGGGAAGACUGCUUCAUCUGCAGCUUCCUUCUUCUUUUCCUCCUUCAGGUUGUCAAUAUAAGCCUUGAAUUGAUCAAAUAAGUGAUAGAUAAUAUCAGCAAUGAAAAUCUUUACACCCAAUUCAUCUGCAAGUUCCCGAGCCUCUUGGGUCACUUUGACAUCAAAUGCCAAGAUAGUGGCAUAUUCCUUUUUCUUCUCAAGCAUCACACUGGCCUUCAUAACAUCCUUUUUGUGUACUGGGCCUAUGCCUAUGCCACUAACAGGAAUGCUCACUGCAGGUGACUUCAAAAACUCCAGCAAUGCUUCCAAUGACCCAAGGGUAGAUGCUUGGACAUAGACUCCCUCACCACUCUUAUCAAUCCGGCUCAUCACUGACCUCAUGUCUUCCAUUGCUGUUUCCAUGACAUCAUCCAAAUCAUCAUCAGGUCCUACCACAUAUAGACCUGUGCCAGCAAUAGCAUGCUCAAGGCCCUGUGCAGUAAUCUUGAUGCCCUGUGCAGCCUUGAUUUCUUUAUGGUGUAUAUAUGCACCCUUAACUCGGAUCUCCUUCAUGGGGUGAGGGGUCAAUAAAGCUCGAAUAGUAGUAACAAUGGGCCCCUGCAAGCCACAAACAACUAUUUGAUCUCCCUCAUGAAGAACACCAUUGACCAACACGACAUCAAUUGUUGUUCCAUGGCCUUCAAUGACCUUGACCUCCAAUACCGUACACUGCACUUCAUCACUAAAUGUGAGUUUCUCAACCAUAGUUUUCUGACUCCACUGAACCAGUAACAAUAGCAAAUCAGGGAUACCCUCUCCACUAAUAGCACUUGUAGGGACAAUACUGAAAGUUUCUCCCAUUUCCUUGUUUUUAUAGUACAGUUCAGUAUUUAGCCCUUGUUCCUUGAAUUGAGUUAUAAUCUGUGUAAGUCUCAUAUUGAAUUCAUUCUGCACAUCUUUUGACUGUUGCUUCAUUGCCUUCACUAUUGGUGCAUUGCGACAAACUUUCCAUCCAUAGAGUCUGUCCACCUUAUUCAAUGCAACAAUGAAUUCUGUAUUUCUCAUCUUCAAGAGAUUGAGUGAUUCUAUUGUUUGAGGCUCCAAGCCAUGCAUAAUGUCAACAACCAAGAUCGCAAUAUCGCACAAACCUGAACCCCUUGACCGCAGAUUAGUAAAAGACUCAUGGCCGGGAGUAUCAAUAACCAAUAGACCAGGGACUUUCAGUUUUGCAUCAGCUUUCAAUUCCUUAGUUCUCUCUCUUAUGUUCUCAGCGGGAAAGUAUGUUGCACCAAUCUGCUGUGUUAUACCCCCAGCCUCCCCUUCCUGAACAUUAGUGCCUCGGAUACAAUCCAGCAACUUGGUUUUACCAGUAUCAACAUGGCCCAUAAUACAGCAAAUUGGAGAACGGAGGUUUUCUUCACCCUGUUUAGGAGUGGCAUCUGAAGGUGACGUUUUAUUCUUUGCAACAGCAUCUUUUCUUCUAUUUUUACAAGUAAUUUCAACUUCAGGUUGAGAUUUCUUAUUUUCAGCAUCCAGAGACUUAACUGGCUGUGAGGGAACAGGAGUUUUGGAUGCAACUGCUGCAGGCUUUGAGGCUGCAGGAGGAAUUGUAAAAUUAAAAACAAGAAAACAAAAAUUACUGAAUUAACCAACAAUCAAAAGCAAAAGCGCAUAGAAAAGAAAACAAAUCCAGAAGGAAAAUUCGGCAAUGAACCUAACCUGCAGAUUGAGAAGCUAAAGCAGCGCUCUUUUUCUCUUUCUUUAAAACAGUUUCAGGUUCAGAAUCAAUCUCCUCAUCAUCAAAAGCACCCUUAACAUUAAGAUUAACAUCAUCCCAGCUCUUUGCAUCCCAUUCCUCCUCCUCCUCAUCAUCAUCA
rnacentral:misc_RNA from 1 species